GUGCAUGAUCGCUUGCCGGAGGAUGUGGUCUGCUUUUACUUUUUUCGAUAAUAAUAAAUUAAACAAAAUCUUAAGUUUUCCGAUUGCACCGUGGUAAAUUUUAACGACACAGAGUCUAAGAUCUUUCAUCAUCCGAUUCAAAAUGCUAUCUUGGCGAAAAACAUCAAAUUUUUUACAUAAUGUUGUUGCAGAAAAUAACUCUUGGAACCGAAAGGAAAAAACCCUUUUAUAGCCUAUUCAGAUUACGCCAUUAAUGACAUAAUAAUUGGCGUUUCAGGGUAAAUACGCUUUAUGAUGUCAUUAUUUACGUAAUAUUCCAUACAUUUUGCGCUGUCAAAAGAUACCCACUAAAAAGAAUUUAUUACGAACAAUUAUUACGAGAGAGCUUUCGUUCUAACUGGAAUGCAGGGAGAAAUUCAACAAAACAAAACUGACAAGCGUCACGCUCUCUUUGCCAGAGAGAAAAUUCUCUCUGUUUUCGUUUCGUUCCGUAGUUGACAGUCAUGCUCUUUCUGUCGCAGCAGGGUCGAAUGCAUGUUAGAUGGAAAUCUUCUGAGCGCUGAAGAAUAACUCGGAUUGUGAUGGUUUUGUGGAAAGCAUUUUAAUGAUGAAAAAUAAUGAUGAUAAUUAUUUAUUCUCCACUUAUUCAAUAUGAAUUGUUUAAAAAACAGAUGCUCUCUAGAAUUAACAUGAAGUAUUUAACUUAAACCUAG